AAUCAACGCUGGCGGCGUGCCUCAGACAUGCAAGUCGAACGCGAAAGGCCCCUUCGGGGGCCGAGUAGAGUGGCGUCCGGGUGAGUAACACGUGGGUAAUCUACCUUCGGGUGGGGAAUAACGACCGGAAACGGUCGCUAAUACCGCAUAAUGCAGCGGCACCUAAUGGUGACAGUUGUUAAAGCGGGGGAUCGCAAGACCUCGCGCCUGAAGAGGAGCCCGCGGCGGAUUAGCUAGUGGCAGGGUAACGGCCUACCAAGGCGACGAUCCGUAGCCGGCCUGAGAGGGCGGUCGGCCACACUGGCACUGACACACGGGCCAGACUCCCACGGGAGGCAGCAGUCGGGAAUUUGGGCAAUGGGCGAAAGCCUGACCCAGCAACGCCGCGU
rnacentral:rRNA from 1 species